rnacentral:rRNA from 1 species
UGAGGAAUAUUGGUCAAUGGGCGAGAGCCUGAACCAGCCAAGUAGCGUGCAGGAUGACGGCCCUAUGGGUUGUAAACUGCUUUUAUAAGGGAAUAAAGUGAGCCUCGUGAGGCUUUUUGCAUGUACCUUAUGAAUAAGGACCGGCUAAUUCCGUGCCAGCAGCCGCGGUAAUACGGAAGGUCCGGGCGUUAUCCGGAUUUAUUGGGUUUAAAGGGAGCGUAGGCCGGAGAUUAAGCGUGUUGUGAAAUGCCGCGGCUCAACCGUGGCACUGCAGCGCGAACUGGGGGGCUUGAGUGCGCGCAGCGCAGGCGGAACUCGUGGUGUAGCGGUGAAAUGCUUAGAUAUCACGAAGAACUCCGAUCGCGAAGGCAGCCUGCGGGAGCGCAACUGACGC